rnacentral:lncRNA from 10 species
AGACAUGGGAGACUUUUCAUUUUGUGCUGUACUAAGAAAAAUUCUUCUUCCUUGGGAAAAAAAAAAAAAAAAAAAGAAGUUGAGACUUGCCCAAGGCUGAAUAGUUAACAAGAGGCUGAACCUGAAAUCACAGCCUGGCUUUCACCCCUGGCUUUGCAGGCGGGAGAUUUUGCACCCGGCUGAUGCACUGCCUCUCACAGUGCCUUGGGCAGCUCCAGCCUGGGGUUUUCAUUUUGCCCUAAGAACGGUCAGUGGAGAGUAAAGUCUGUUGGGCAAACUUCUCCCUUGCUGACCAACGAAAGGCAAGCAUCAAGAAAUCAGGAAGAGGGAAGAGAAACAGAGCAAAUGAGGAAAACAGAAAGAGGAAAUAACAAGCUGGAACGCUGGUGGCUCUGUGGUUAAAAAGAGAGGAAAAUAUAAAUGGAGAGAAAAUGGUCAUUUUGGUCAAGUAUAAAAGGUAGACAAAGGUUGCUGAAGAUUGAGAAGAGAAACAGGUUAGACACCAUUCUACCCCACAUCUUUCAGUACCUUCGCUGGCAACCCCAGGGUUGGAGGGUGGGGCCGGGAGCAACUCUUCACUUCCCCUAGAGCAGAGUUUCCCAAAAUAUAGCAGAUAUCAAAGAUAAUUUUAGAUAUUACAAUAACAGGCAUUAGUUGAAUGGCAGGGUACAAAAAUGAAAUAUUUUGAAAUUGUUUUAAUCCUUCUCUCCCCAAUUGACUGAACAGUCUGAAUCAAAUGGAGUAGCAAAAGAAAUAUUUCACUUUCUUUAACUACCACCUUCCACAUACUCAAUCUCUCUCUCAUUGUAGGGAAGAAAGAUUAUUCCCUCUUUCCAAAUAUUUCCCAUAUUCUUGGUAAGCCAUUAACUUGAGGAAAGGUAAGUUUCUCUUAACUACCUCUUGGGCAGAGCCCAUAAAUAUCUGAUCAGUUUUAGUUACCAGAAAAAGCCAGUGUCGUUUAAAUUUUUAAUUUCAUAUCCAAAUUAGUGUUUGCCUGGUGCCCUUCUGCAUCCCUCUAGGUUCCUUUCUCCUCCGGGGAAGGGAACACAUGCCCCCCUCCACAAGAGAUGCCCUGUGGUCCUCUCUGGGCCGCACGGCCCCUCCCUGGCUGCUGAUGCCCGCUUGUCCAGGAAUCCGAGUUCAGACUCUCAUGGCAGUGUGAGGGUGAGUUUUUUGGUGAGCUGUGCAGUUCCCCGACAUGGGAGGGUCACCAGGGCUUGACCACUUCAACUGUCCCUCAGCUCCCAUUCCUAGGGGUCACGAUUAGGGUCAUACACAUCCAAACUCUACGGGGUGCACACUGGGCUCCCCAGGUCCCCUCACACUCCACAGGCUGCGAGCCGCGCCUUUCGGACUAUCCCAUUCUCAGCAAUUCUCCCAGGCCCCUCACUGAACCUCCACGUCAUGCUACCUGCCACCCGACCCCAACCCCUAUCCCCAGCAUCUCCAGCUCCGCUUCCACGGACUCUGACUGGAUGAUGAUGAAGCCGCAGGAGCAGGUGAGCCACCGUGAUAAGCCCUGAGGAGGUGUCUGGCCUCAGUCUUUCAGCUCUGCGGAACAGCGGGAAAUGCGAAAGCGCUUCUCUGUUCUCGACCGUGGACCCCGGUCUCCAGUGUGAUUGCAUCUAGUAUGGCAAAGCCGCCUCUCUCACGCUUAGCCUCCUUUCUGUCCCUACUCAGAGAGAGAGCAAGCCUUCUUUAGGCAACAGCAUCCAUCCACAAACUAAGACCAUUUGGCCUUCCUCGUGCUUAUUUUCACUGUACACUGUACAGUCAUGCGUUGCUGAACAACAGGAUAUGUCUGGGAAACGCAUCAUCAGGUGAUUUCAUCAUUGUUCAAACAUCCUAGAGUGCACUUACACAAACCCAGAUGGCACAGCCUACUACACAUCCAGGCUGUAUGAUACAGCCUAUGGUUCCCAGGCUACCUUCCUGCGUGUAUACCGCACAGUGCUGAAUACUGCAGGCAAUUGUAACACAAUGGGCGCCGCGAGUGGGGAUGUAUCGGACCCUACAGCCAUCUGGGAUGAGCCGCUUCUCAGCCACAUGUCU